rnacentral:tRNA from 1 species
CACAGUGUAGUUUAUUAAAGCCUCCCGCUUACACCGAGAAGAUAUCUAUUAACCAGAUCACUGUGA